rnacentral:rRNA from 1 species
CCUUUUGUAUAAUGGGUCAGCGACUUAUAUUCUGUAGCAAGGUUAACCGAAUAGGGGAGCCGAAGGGAAACCGAGUCUUAACUGGGCGUUAAGUUGCAGGGUAUAGACCCGAAACCCGGUGAUCUAGCCAUGGGCAGGUUGAAGGUUGGGUAACACUAACUGGAGGACCGAACCGACUAAUGUUGAAAAAUUAGCGGAUGACUUGUGGCUGGGGGUGAAAGGCCAAUCAAACCGGGAGAUAGCUGGUUCUCCCCGAAAGCUAUUUAGGUAGCGCCUCGUGAAUUCAUCUCCGGGGGUAGAGCACUGUUUCGGCAAGGGGGUCAUCCCGACUUACCAACCCGAUGCAAACUGCGAAUACCGGAGAAUGUUAUCACGGGAGACACACGGCGGGUGCUAACGUCCGUCGUGAAGAGGGAAACAACCCAGACCGCCAGCUAAGGUCCCAAAGUCAUGGUUAAGUGGGAAACGAUGUGGGAAGGCCCAGACAGCCAGGAUGUUGGCUUAGAAGCAGCCAUCAUUUAAAGAAAGCGUAAUAGCUCACUGGUCGAGUCGGCCUGCGCGGAAGAUGUAACGGGGCUAAACCAUGCACCGAAGCUGCGGCAGCGACGCUUAUGCGUUGUUGGGUAGGGGAGCGUUCUGUAAGCCUGC